rnacentral:rRNA from 1 species
ACAUGCCUACAACAUAGAGUUAAUGCACCGGAUCCCAUUAGAACUCUGCAGUUAAGCGUGCUUAAGCUAGAGUAGUAUUGGGAUGGGUGAUCACCCAGAAAGUCCUAGUGUUUUACAUGCC